rnacentral:rRNA from 1 species
AAGAAGUACUUGCAUAUGGUGUUCAUUGACUUGGAGAAGGCCUAUGAUAAGAUACCGCGGAAUGUCAUGUGGUGGGCCUUGGAGAAACACAAAGUCCCAGCAAAGUACAUUACCCUCAUCAAGGACAUGUACGAUAAUGUUGUGACAAGUGUUCGAACAAGUGAUGUCGACACUGAUGACUUCCCGAUUAAGAUAGGACUGCAUCAGGGGUCAGCUUUGAGCCCUUAUCUUUUUGCAUUGGUGAUGGAUGAGGUCACAAGGGAUAUACAAGGAGAUAUCCCAUGGUGUAUGCUCUUUGCAGAUGAUGUGGUGCUAGUUGACGAUAGUCGGGCGGGGGUAAAUAGGAAGUUAGAGUUAUGGAGACAAACCUUGGAAUCGAAAGGGUUUAGGCUUAGUAGGACUGAAACCGAGUACAUGAUGUGCGGUUUCAGUACUACUAGGUGUGAGGAGGAGGAGGUUAGCCUUGAUGGUCAGGUGGUACCUCGGAAGGACACCUUUCGGUAUUUGGGGUCAAUGUUGCAGGAGGAUGGGGGUAUUGAUGAAGAUGUGAACCAUCGGAUCAAAGCCGGAUGGAUGAAGUGGCGCCAAGCUUCUGGCAUUCUCUGUGACAAGAGAGUGCCACAAAAGCUAAAAGGCAAGUUCUACAGGACGGCGGUUCGACCCGCAAUGUUGUAUGGAGCUGAGUGUUGGCCGACUAAAAGGCGACAUGUUCAACAGUUAGGUGUGGCGGAGAUGCAUAUGUUGAGAUGGAUGUGUGGCCACACGAGGAAGGAUCGAGUCCGGAAUGAUGAUAUACGAGAUAGAGUUGGGGUAGCACCAAUUGAAGAGAAGCUUGUCCAACAUCGUCUGAGAUGGUUUGGGCAUAUCCAGCGCAGGCCUCCAGAAGCUCCAGUGCAUAGCGGAUGGCUAAAGCGUGCGGAGAAUGUCAAAAGAGGGCGGGGUAGACCGAAUUUGACAUGGGAGGAGUCUGUUAAG